GGUGGACGCAAUAUCUAUUUUACAUUGAUGUGGUGCUGAGGAUCGAACCCAGUGCUUCAUGCAUGCCAGGUGACUCCCAUAGGGAGUAUGUCUGGCCAAGCCCUGUCCCACGCUUCCACUGAGCUUGCAGUGCCUGGAGCAGAGCAGCGGGUUGAGGACCUGAGGACAGAGAUGAGACUCACCUCUAAAUUCUUCACCCCAUCUGCAAAACAAAUAAAUAAAUAAAUAAUAAGCCUCUGA